rnacentral:lncRNA from 1 species
UGUGUGUGUGUGUGUGUGUGUAGCGCAGGGGCAGGGGAGAUAUGAGCAUUUGAGAAAAAGAAUUCUAUGUGGAGCAUACUGACAGGCGAUUUCAGAGGUUGUAAUCAGGAACUGAUUUAAUAGGGUCUUAGGGCAACCUUCUUGAAGAAGCAAGUAGCAAGUACCAGACUAAGAACAAGCAAACAAACCUGAGGCUGCUAUAGCAAGGCAAGGAAUCCUUUGUGUUUUUACAUUUAUUCAAGAAGGGAAUUGAAAUUAUACUUUGUAUUAAAAAGGUGGCAGUAGUUAUUAAUAAAAUUGUAUUCUCCUUUAGCUUUGUAUUGGUUUUGUCCAAUAAUUGAGUAGCUUUACUGUACCAGAGGGUGCACUGUGAGAUUAAACAAAAGGUCUUUAGAGAUGGCUGUCCUAGGUUGGUAAACUGGAACAGUCACACUGUGGGCAGUGAUUAAAGGGAGAAUGAACCUUCUGAAUGACCGGAAGAACGGCAGAGUCCUCAGUUCACCACAUGGGGAAGCCUGGGGUGUUCUCAACUUGGUAGCCAUUCAGUAUGACAGAGCAGCAGAUGUGUAUUGAGAUGUCAAGGAGAAUCAGGACAGAGUGUCUGCAGGGAUGUCGGCAAGCCUUGAGUGCCAUAGUAAGGAGCUGAGGUUUACUUUAGUGAGAAAGCAAAUUAAGAUGUGUUUUGAGCAUAUCAUGAAUCAAAAAAUUCCAUUCAGGGCUGUAGAUGCGAAGGAGUCCACGAACAGAGAUGGUUAUAUAAGAGGUGGGGGGAUGAAGACUGAAAGUUAGGCCAAUUUGAGAUUACAAGAAUAACACCUUGUUACUACCUUAAACCUAAGGGAGAUAGAAAAGUUAGGCAGUGUAACCUAGGCCCGCAAAACACCUCCAUCCACCGGAAACCAUCACAAGGGGUCUACCCUGUGGUAAUCAAGGCCACAGAGGAGCUGCCGAGGCUACCCAGGGUACAGAGAGAGGAAGGAGAAGCCUUGGUUUUUCCUUCCUUUUGCUUUCUCUCCACGCAGCUUUCUCUUUAAACUUAUUUAUACAUGUAUAGUGUGUGUGUGUAUGUGUGUAGCUUUAUGUGUACACGUGUGCAUGCAUGUUCAUAUGUAUAAGUGUGUGCUAGUAUGGGUGUGGUGUAUGUGCGUAUGUGUGCAGGUGUGGUGUAUGUAUGUAUGUAUGUGUAGGGCAUAUGUGAUGUGUACUUAGGGUAUGUAUGUAUGUAUGCUUGCAUGUAUGUAUGUAUGUAUGUAUGUAUGUAUGUAUGUGUAAGGUAUAUAUGAAUGUGUAUAGGGCAUAUAUAAUGUGUUAUUAGGAUAUGUAUGUAUGUAUGCAUACAUCCAUGUGUGCAAGUGCAGGUAUGACAUAGCAUACAUACAGGGGUGAGGACACAACUUCAGGCCAAGGUUUUUACUCAUCACCUUGAUUCUUUUUGAGACUGGGUCUCUACAUCCACCAGGAUGCCUGACCCAUAAGCUUCUGAGAGUUCUCCUGUCUGUCAGAGUAGCUGCAUUAUAGCUGUGCACUAAGCUUCCAGCUGUACAUGGGCUCUUUUCAUAUCUCCCCACUUGCAGGGCAAGCUCUUUAUUCACUGAGCCAACUCCCCGCAAGCCUCCUGCUUUGUAAUCUCCUUCCAGUGCCUUGCAUUGAUUCAACCCAACCAGGAUCCUGAUUAAGUGGGAGCCUGAAAGUGAGGGAGGGUCUUAUGCAGCUCAGUGGUUCAGAAUAGGACAGAGGCAGGAAAGGUGGGAAGUAGAGCAGGGGCAAUGGGGCCAGCCAGCAUGGGUUGUGAGCUCAAUAAGUGUGAUUCAUCUACCAAUGGUAGUAGAUGCUCUUAUGGCUGAUUAAAAACAUCAUUAAAAGAUCUUAUGAAUUAACUGCAGAAGUCUUUUGUGAGUGUAUUCACUAGGUAUCAUCACUAGUUUAUUGAAUCUAGGUGUUUUUAUACACUUAACAGGGAAUUCAUAGUCAAAGCAAAUAUAUUAUUUUAAGCACUCUAGAAGAGGCGUUGCCUUAUGUUUUAACACCCAGCAGGAGUCUCCCUUCAGGAUACAGAUUUACAAAGGCUUGUUGAAUGUGUGUCCCAGGAAAUGAUACAGUACCACCAUGGUGAAUUGCCCAUGGCUUUGCCUGUUAGGCUAAUGAACUGACAAAUGAAAGCAGC